rnacentral:rRNA from 2 species
UGGGGAAUAUUGGGCAAUGGGGGAAACCCUGACCCAGCAACGCCGCGUGAGGGAAGAAGGUUUUCGGAUCGUAAACCUCUGUCCUUGGUGAAGAGUAAGAGACGGUAGCCAAGGAGGAAGCCCCGGCUAACUACGUGCCAGCAGCCGCGGUAAUACGUAGGGGGCGAGCGUUGUCCGGAAUGAUUGGGCGUAAAGGGCGCGUAGGCGGCCUUAUAAGUCUGAAGUGAAAGUCCUGCUUUCAAGGUGGGAAUUGCUUUGGAUACUGUAGGGCUUGAGUGCAGGAGAGGUAAGUGGAAUUCCCAGUGUAGCGGUGAAAUGCGUAGAGAUUGGGAGGAACACCAGUGGCGAAGGCGACUUACUGGACUGUAACUGACGCUGAGGCGCGAAAGUGUGGGGAGCAAACAGG